GACGAACGCUGGCGGCGUGCCUAAUACAUGCAAGUUGAGCGAUGAAGAUUGGUGCUUGCACCAAUUAGAAGAGCAGCGAACGGGUGAGUAACGCGUGGGGAAUCUGCCUUUGAGCGGGGGACAACAUUUGGAAACGAAUGCUAAUACCGCAUAACAACUUUAAACAUAAGUUUUAAGUUUGAAAGAUGCAAUUGCAUCACUCAAAGAUGAUCCCGCGUUGUAUUAGCUAGUUGGUGAGGUAAAGGCUCACCAAGGCGAUGAUACAUAGCCGACCUGAGAGGGUGAUCGGCCACAUUGGGACUGAGACACGGCCCAAACUCCUACGGGAGGCAGCAGUAGGGAAUCUUCGGCAAUGGACGAAAGUCUGGCCGAGCAACGCCGCGUGAGUGAAGAAGGUUUUCGGAUCGUAAAACUCUGUUGGUAGAGAAGAACGUUGGUGAGAGUGGAAAGCUCAUCAAGUGACGGUAACUACCCAGAAAGGGACGGCUAACUACGUG
rnacentral:rRNA from 1 species